GAAACAGCACAACUUCUUUGUAAAGAAUAACGACUAAAAUAUUGGAGUGUCAAAAUGACCAGACGAAAACCUGGAAAACGAUGGAGAAGGACUGGUAAUGAAGAAGACCCAAAUAAACGACCAAGAAGGACUACACAAUUGUCAUCCCUCCCUGUGGCCACCAAUGUUCAUGUGGAGACUGAUCAGCAAUAUUUAGG